rnacentral:lncRNA from 1 species
UGACUUCUAACAUAUGGUUACAUUUAAUUUGUUUUGUUAAACCCUAUCCUUUGGAAUGACUUUGCUAGCAACAGUGAAUCUAGAGAUCUCUCAAUAAUCCUUCUCACGAUAGCACAAUGGUAGUAGUCAGGGAUAAAUAUCAAGGCUAAGCUGGGCUUGGUUAAAACCCUGGAUGGGAGCCCAAUGGAUAGCUGUAAAUAAAUCCAUUUUCCAGUAGGAGAUGCAGCCCAACCUAUUGUGUUUUUUUUUCUGAUAGUGGAUGUAACGUUGAAGAUCUGACGUUGUUUCAAAGGUACAAAUUCAACAUAUUUUAUACAAGGUUUGUCUAUGUUUAAAAUGGGUUACCAUGAUGACAUUAUACUGUGGUUGAAAUUUCACCCUCAAAACAACAGUUGUAGACAGUUGAUGACUUUCUGCAAAUUCAGUUUAUUUUCCACGUAGAUUCCGUGUCACAAUACGUUGACAAAUUACAUUGAAAUAACGUCGAUUCAACAGGCUUGUGCCCAGUGUUUUUUUUCUUCUGUUGCUAUGGCAACUCAUUACCCCUACUGACCUUGGCGUGUACACACACAAACACUCUACACAGAGACAGAAUGCACGGCUAACGAUGGUCCUUCAUCACAACGCAACAGACAUUACAUAAUCCCUGCAGUCAACAGUCAACACUUUACAUUGGUAAUGGUAACUCUCUCCUCCUCUCUCUCGCCAUCUCUCUGUCUCUCUUUCUCUCUCUCUGUCUCUUGUCUCUCUGUCUGUCUCUCACUCCCUCUCUCUCUCUCUGUCUCUCACUCCCUCUCUCUCUCUGUCUCUCACUCCCUCUCUCUCUGUCUCUCGUCUUUUCUGCCUCUCUCUCUGUUUCUCUGUCUCUCUGUCUCUCUGUCCCAAUCUCUCUGUCCCUCUGUCCCUCUGUCUCUCUGUCCGUCCGUCCCUCAGUCCGUCCGUCUCUCUCUGUCUCUCUCUCUCGGUCUCUCUGUUUGUCUCUCUCUCUCUCAUAUACAGUGGCAAGAAAAAGUAAGCGAACCCUUUGGAAUUACCCUGAUUUCUGCAUAAAUUGGUCAUCAAAUUUGAUCUGAUCUUUAUCUAACUUACAACAAUAGACAAACAUAGUCUGCUUAAACUAAUAGCACACAAAUUGUAUUUUUCUUGUCUAUAUUGUCACAGUGUUCAUUGAUUCUCCAGUCCCCCUGCCCUUUUUAAUACCCUCCACUUUACCAUCAGGCAGCUGGGAGAAAAUACCUUUUUUCCCAUUGAACCAAGGUAAGGGGAUCGGUAGAGAACCAAGGUAAGGGGAUCGGUAGAGAACCA